rnacentral:tRNA from 1 species
AUCUGGCUGGCUCAGCCAGUAGAGCAUGAGACUGUUGACCUCAGGGUUGUGAGUUCAAGCCCCAUGUUGGGUG